CUAUACAUGCAAGUCGAGCGAACAGAUAAGGAGCUUGCUCCUUUGACGUUAGCGGCGGACGGGUGAGUAACACGUGGGUAACCUACCUAUAAGACUGGGAUAACUUCGGGAAACCGGAGCUAAUACCGGAUAACAUUUGGAACCGCAUGGUUCUAAAGUGAAAGAUGGUUUUGCUAUCACUUAUAGAUGGACCCGCGCCGUAUUAGCUAGUUGGUAAGGUAACGGCUUACCAAGGCGACGAUACGUAGCCGACCUGAGAGGGUGAUCGGCCACACUGGAACUGAGACACGGUCCAGACUCCUACGGGAGGCAGCAGUAGGGAAUCUUCCGCAAUGGGCGAAAGCCUGACGGAGCAACGCCGCGUGAGUGAUGAAGGGUUUCGGCUCGUAAAACUCUGUUAUUAGGGAAGAACAAAUGUGUAAGUAACUGUGCACGUCUUGACGGUACCUAAUCAGAAAGCCACGGCUAACUACGUGCCAGCAGCCGCGGUAAUACGUAGGUGGCAAGCGUUAUCCGGAAUUAUUGGGCGUAAAGCGCGCGUAGGCGGUUUCUUAAGUCUGAUGUGAAAGCCCACGGCUCAACCGUGGAGGGUCAUUGGAAACUGGGAAACUUGAGUGCAGAAGAGGAAAGUGGAAUUCCAUGUGUAGCGGUGAAAUGCGCAGAGAUAUGGAGGAACACCAGUGGCGAAGGCGACUUUCUGGUCUGUAACUGACGCUGAUGUGCGAAAGCGUGGGGAUCAAACAGGAUUAGAUACCCUGGUAGUCCACGCCGUAAACGAUGAGUGCUAAGUGUUAGGGGGUUUCCGCCCCUUAGUGCUGCAGCUAACGCAUUAAGCACUCCGCCUGGGGAGUACGACCGCAAGGUUGAAACUCAAAGGAAUUGACGGGGACCCGCACAAGCGGUGGAGCAUGUGGUUUAAUUCGAAGCAACGCGAAGAACCUUACCAAAUCUUGACAUCCUUUGAAAACUCUAGAGAUAGAGCUUUCCCCUUCGGGGGACAAAGUGACAGGUGGUGCAUGGUUGUCGUCAGCUCGUGUCGUGAGAUGUUGGGUUAAGUCCCGCAACGAGCGCAACCCUUAAGCUUAGUUGCCAUCAUUAAGUUGGGCACUCUAGGUUGACUGCCGGUGACAAACCGGAGGAAGGUGGGGAUGACGUCAAAUCAUCAUGCCCCUUAUGAUUUGGGCUACACACGUGCUACAAUGGACAAUACAAAGGGCAGCUAAACCGCGAGGUCAUGCAAAUCCCAUAAAGUUGUUCUCAGUUCGGAUUGUAGUCUGCAACUCGACUACAUGAAGCUGGAAUCGCUAGUAAUCGUAGAUCAGCAUGCUACGGUGAAUACGUUCCCGGGUCUUGUACACACCGCCCGUCACACCACGAGAGUUUGUAACACCCGAAGCCGGUGGAGUAACCAUUUAUGGAGCUAGCCGUCGAAGUGG
rnacentral:rRNA from 1 species